rnacentral:rRNA from 1 species
CUGCUGCCUUCCGUAGGAGUUUGGGCCGUGUCUCAGUCCCAAUGUGGCCGUUCACCCUCUCAGGCCGGCUACUGAUCGUCGCCUUGGUAGGCCGUUACCCUACCAACCAGCUAAUCAGACGCGGGUCCAUCCUGCACCACCUUAGUUUUUCACACCUGGCCAUGCGGCCUCGUGCGCUUAUGCGGUAUUAGCACCUGUUUCCAGGUGUUAUCCCCCGGUGCAGGGCAGGUUCCCCACGCGUUACUCACCCGUCCGCCACUAAGUUA